rnacentral:rRNA from 1 species
GAUGAACGCUGGCGGCGUGCCUAAUACAUGCAAGUCGAGCGAACAGACGAGGAGCUUGCUCCUCUGACGUUAGCGGCGGACGGGUGAGUAACACGUGGAUAACCUACCUAUAAGACUGGGAUAACUUCGGGAAACCGGAGCUAAUACCGGAUAAUAUAUUGAACCGCAUGGUUCAAUAGUGAAAGACGGUUUUGCUGUCACUUAUAGAUGGAUCCGCGCCGCAUUAGCUAGUUGGUAAGGUAACGGCUUACCAAGGCAACGAUGCGUAGCCGACCUGAGAGGGGGAUCGGCCGCGGUGGAACUGACCCGCGGCCCGGCCUCCGAUGGGGCGUAGCGGUAGGCAAUCUGCUGCGAGGGGGGAACACCUGCGGAGACGUCGCGGGUGGAGUGAUGACGGUCUUCGGGUGGAAAACCUCUGUUAGUAGUGAAGAACAAUGUUUGGAUGUGUUAUGCGCGUCUGGCCGGGACCCAAGCAGAACGCGACGGCUAACUCCGGCCCAGGGGGCGGAAUGGCGGACGGGCCCCUUCCGACC